UCGACUGACCCAGAGUUUCUUUUGGCCAGGAGUCAGCCAGGAAGUACGUAAAUAUUGCAGUACCUGCGAUACAUGCCAGAGGGAAGAGGGGGAACCGGCGGAAGGCAAAGUUGUAUCCCCUACCGAUAAUUGAGGAGCCAUUCCAUAGAAUAGCCGUAGAUAUCAUAGGUCCCCUUCGGAAACCUAGCCCUUCUGGCAAGAAGUACAUUUUAACAGUGGUGGAUUACGCCACCCGCUACCCA